rnacentral:rRNA from 1 species
AUUGAACGCUGGCGGCAGGCCUAACACAUGCAAGUCGAGCGGAGCGGCGGACGGGUGAGUAAUGCCUAUGACUCUGCCUGGUAGUGGGGGAUAACGUCCGGAAACGGGCGCUAAUACCGCAUACUCUCAGCUGAGCCUAGGUCUGAUUAGCUAGUUGGUGGGGUAAAGGCCUACCAAGGCGACGACCCGUAACUCGUUUGAGAGGAUGAUCAGUCACACUGGAAUUGAGACACGGGCCAGACUCCUACGGGAGGCAGCAGUGGGGAAUAUUGGACAAUGGGAGAAAGCCUGAUCCAGCCAUGCCGCGUGUGGGAAGAAGGUCUUCGGAUUGUAAAGUACUUUAAGUUGGGAGGCGUUACCAACAGAAUAAGCACCGGCUAACUUCGUGCCAGCAGCCGCGGUAAUAC